CUCGGCUCCACCGGCAGCUUCUCUGUACCUCGCCUGUAAAAAUGUCAAAGACCGGAAGCUGCUGCGGCCGGUGAGCUUCAAAUAGUGGAGGCCAAUGCUGCACAAUUAUGCCACCUACUGUGCAAAUCAGGGAACUGCAGUCCCCAAGAGGCAGUUCAUCAGAACAUUGUUUCUUCACAGAAAAGAAGCAUCAGAUCACGUCAUCUUGCCUAAAACCAACACGUGCGAGUCCAUGCAAAUGUACCAGCGAAUUACUGAGGAGGGAAAAACCAGCAGUUCUCAGAAGCGGGGUGUGAUGAGACCGGCGGGACUGUGACGCAGAAGUACCGGAGGAAGUUCGCGCUGUUCUCACCGUGCUGACCGUCCCGUCAACUCUGCCACGUCUGCCCCGUUUGGGCUCAAAGCGAGGGUAAGGCACGAAAUGGGACAGUGCAGAUGGGCCGUCUAUGAAGCGACACCUGCGAUGGUUGGGGUUAAAGGGACAAACCUGACACGGCCGUGUAUAAAGGGACACUUCCGCCCAUUCAGUUGAAACAGAUGCACCCGACAAUCAGGCAUAAAGGGACAUUUGCCGACAUUGUGUUGCAGCCCACAGCUUGCUGUGGAGGGACACUGCCAGCACCAUGGUCUACAGGGACAAUUCUGACUGCAGGGUGUAACAUGCAUUUCACUUGCUGAAGACGAGACUGAAGGCGAAACACCGAGAAACAAACAGUUACUGAAGAUAGCUGCAGUACAGGCCUGGCAGAGCAUCACCAGGGAAGACACCCAGUGUCUGGUGACGUUCAAGGGUUGCAGACUUCACAGUCACCGAAUACAAAGGAUUUGCAAUCAAGCACUAAAUAUGAAUAUGACUUUAUUUCAGAUUAUGUUAAUUUGUAUAAUUACUUUUGGUGCCAUAAAAUGGGGAGGGGGACUAUGUAUAAAAAGGGCUGUAAUUUCUACUUGUUCACCCACUAUGGAUGUAAAUACCAGCAAAUUAAAGCUGGCAGUCUGCACUUUAACCUCAUAUUCACCGUUUCAUUUCAAAUCCAAUGUGCUGAAGUACGGAGCCAAAACAGCCAAAAUUGCAUCACCAUCCAAAUACAGGUUGUCCUAUAUACAGUGUAUAUAUAUGUAUAUAUAUAUAUAUAUAUAUAUAUAGAGAGAGAGAGAGAGAAAGAGAGAGUGAGAGAGAGAGAGAGAUAUGCAGGGCCCUUGAAUACAUGCUUAAAGGAAAACCAUUUCACAUGUAUGUGCAGCUACAUUCAUUGAGAUUGUAUAGAUUUGUAUUUUAAUAGUUUUGUCAUCAAUGUGAGAGCUUCUGUGAGCCUUCAAAUAAUGCGUCUUCCCAGCUUUUCAUUUCAGUUUUCACUUUUUUUUUUGUUUAGUUUUAAAUGGUUAUAUUUAUUGAAAUUCGCCUCGCCCUCUCAGGGGCUACAUUUAAAUUCACGCUCUCAAGGACCUGAGCUCACACAAGGCCAGAAGAUAAUGGGAAAACCUAUUUAUUCUCACCCUUUGUUUUUUCUUUUUACCCUCCAGGAGCAAUCGCGCUCAGCGCAAGGUGGCAGCUGUCACCUGUCCAUUAGCAUUGCAAAUGAGAAGGGCGGCGUGAGCCCCACCACCCUUACACACACACACACACACACACACACACGCACGCACGCACGUGUACACACAGACACAUGCACACACACACACUCACACACGCGCAUACACACGAACACACGCACGCACAUGUACACACAGACGCAUGCACACACACACACACGCGCAUACACACACACGCACGUGUACACACAGACGCAUGCACACACACACACACACACACACGCACGUGUACACACAGACGCAUGCACACACACACACUCACACACGCACGUGUACACACACACUCGCACAGGUGCACACAUGCAAGCAAGCACAUGCACGCACACACACGCACGCACACACACACACACACACGCAUGCACACACAUAGCUACAUACACCUGCAUAUUCACCCACAUACACAGCCACAUACAUACAUACAGACAGACACACACAAACACACACUCAGACAAACACACCCACAUACUCGCACACACACACACACACACACCACUCACUCACACACACACACACACACAGACACCCAAUCAUUUGGCCAUUGGCUACGCUCAAUAUUCAAUCAAAAAUUUGUCCCAUCCUUAACUUUGAUUCACAUUCAAAUGCAAGCAUACACUUCUUCGGAUGCAAGCAUCUGUGUGAUUUCGCAAAACUGAGGAAGAAAAAAAAAGCACACUUGGUUUUAUUUGUCAGUUAAUGUUAAGGAUUAAUGUUUAUCGUACUGAAUCAAGGCCCAAGUCUGUCUCUAUGACGCCCGCCAAGAGUUUGACUUCGACCAAAAGCUUCUAACGUGAUGUGUGCAGCAAAGUCUUGUGGGAACGAGAGGUGAAUUCCGCUUAAGGCUGACUCUUGCCCCAAAAGCUUAUUCUCCCACCUCUACGUCUGCCCCUAAAACAUAAAUAACACAACAUGCAGUUAACCUGCGUUUUCCCCCAGAAAGAACAACAAAAAAAACAUUAAAAAGCAAUGCAUUAAAUACGCUUAUACACACAUUCUUAUUCAAAGGAAAAUCUAAUCAUUGGUAACAGCAGUAAGGCAGAGAGACCUGGGUAAUUGCUCACAAUACCCUUCGCAAAGUACCAUUGUCAUGGUAACCAGGCAGUACUUCAAGCCAGAGGCAAUUCUUUUUGCAUCCACCAGACCUCCAGUGAAGCAGGACCGACAUUUGCGUGCAUCUUGAGUGGCAUCGUCAAUGUAUGUUUUUCUUCUGCGGGGAAGAAAGGAAACACUGGAAUACGGACAGGAGUAAUGAAAUAUUGUUGCACCGGAAAAUAAAUUU